ACUCCUACGGGUGGCUGCAGUGGGGAAUAUUGGACAAUGGGGGCAACCCUGAUCCAGCAAUGCCGCGUGUGUGAAGAAGGCCUUAGGGUUGUAAAGCACUUUCGUUAGUGAAGAAAGGUUUAUGGCUAAUACCUAUGAAUUUGACAUUAGCUAAAGAAGAAGCACCGGCUAACUCCGUGCCAGCAGCCGCGGUAAUACGGAGGGUGCAAGCGUUAUUCGGAAUGACUGGGCGUAAAGCGCACGCAGGCGGUUAUUUAAGUCAGAUGUGAAAGCCCCGGGCUUAACCUGGGAAUUGCAUUUGAAACUGGGUAACUAGAGUAUGUCAGAGGAAGGCGGAAUUUCCAGUGUAGCAGUGAAAUGCGUAGAGAUUGGAAGGAACACCGAUGGCGAAGGCAGCCUUCUGGGGCAAUACUGACGCUCAUGUGCGAAAGCGUGGGUAGCAAACAGGACUAGAUACCCUGGUAGUCCACGCCCUAAACGAUGUCAACUAGGUGUUGGGCACUUAAGUGCUCGGUACCGCAGCUAACGCAUUAAGUUGACCGCCUGGGGAGUACGGCCGCAAGGUUGAAACUCAAAGAAAUUGACGGGGACCCGCACAAGCGGUGGAGCAUGUGGUUUAAUUCGAUGCAACGCGAAGAACCUUACCAGGCCUUGACAUCCAGAGAACUAAGCAGAGAUGCUAUGGUGCCUUCGGGAACUCUGAGACAGGUGAUGCAUGGUUGUCGUCAGCUCGUG
rnacentral:rRNA from 1 species